rnacentral:rRNA from 1 species
GACAGAGGGUGCAAACGUUGUUCGGAAUUACUGGGCGUAAAGCGUGUGUAGGCGGCUGUAAAAGUCGGAUGUGAAAGCCCCGGGCUCAACCCGGGAAGAGCACCCGAUACUGUACGGCUUGAGUACCGGAGAGGUUGGUGGAAUUCUCGGUGUAGAGGUGAAAUUCGUAGAUAUCGAGAGGAACACCGGCGGCGAAGGCGGCCAACUGGACGAGUACUGACGCUGAGACACGAAAGCGUGGGGAGCAAACAGG